GCAGGAUUGGGAGCAGCAAGUGCACAGGCAAGGAGGUGAGGAAGAGCCCUGCAUCCCCAGGAAACCACAAAUAUGACUAGAGGACAUUUGUUGACUACUGUAGACAGCAUGGAAAAGUUCAACAUCAUAGAAUCUAAAGACCUGUGUGGACCUGGCCAAGCUGACCAAGUCCAGAGAAAAUGUCCCUUGAAGUAGGUAUAUUUUGGGUUCAUUUGAUAAUAAGAUGAAGAAUAGAGCUUUGUCAACUAUAAAGCACCAUGAAAAAUUGAGAAUUAAUAUUUCUACCUUAUGAAUAUAUUCAAGAUGAUCCCUUACUUGGAGAUAAUGGCUCAGAGAGAUUAUUUAAAGAGAAAACUGGAAAUAUUUUGACAUUUUUUAUGUGUUGGGGAUGACAGGAAGCCAAAGAUGUUACAUUUUCAAGGUUAGUGAAUGUGAUUGUGAUGGAGUGAUGGUGUCAUACAUUAAAAAAAGGAUCAUAGGAAAAGAUGUUUUAUUUUGAAAUUGAGAUA
rnacentral:lncRNA from 1 species